GACGAACGCUGGCGGCGUGCUUAACACAUGCAAGUCGAACGGAAAGGCCCUGCAUUUGUGGGGUGCUCGAGUGGCGAACGGGUGAGUAACACGUGAGUAACCUGCCCUUGACUUUGGGAUAACUUCAGGAAACUGGGGCUAAUACCGGAUAGGAGCUCCUGCUGCAUGGUGGGGGUUGGAAAGUUUCGGCGGUUGGGGAUGGACUCGCGGCUUAUCAGCUUGUUGGUGGGGUAGUGGCUUACCAAGGCUUUGACGGGUAGCAGGCCUGAGAGGGUGACCGGCCACAUUGGGACUGAGAUACGGCACAGACUCCUACGGGAGGCAGCAGUGGGGAAUAUUGCACAAUGGGCGGAAGCCUGAUGCAGCAACGCCGCGUGCGGGAUGACGGCCUUCGGGUUGUAAACCGCUUUCGCCUGUGACGAAGCGUGAGUGACGGUAAUGGGUAAAGAAGCACCGGCUAACUACGUG
rnacentral:rRNA from 1 species